rnacentral:lncRNA from 1 species
UUAUACAGCUUCAUCAGGUUUAUCUUUUGGUUAUACUGGAGCCCUUUGUUCUUCAGCACAGCUUUGCAUAUAUUCGACGCUAUCUGCGCUUCGAUAUGGGAGCUCAGAAUGAAUCGAAUAAGAUUUGGUUUUUCUGGAACUCGGGGACUAAUGUUACUAUUAUUGUUGAUCACCCCCAGUUUCUUCACGUUAAAGUUGAGGACCCCAGAAUAGCUCGUCCUAUCUAUUUUACUCCAGUUUAUGCUUCUUGUGAUGCUUCUGUCAGGAGGGAUUUGUGGGCGGGUCUUCACCACAUCUCCCUCGAUAUGGAUGACCCUUGGAUAGUUGGGGGAGACUUUAACGUUAUUACUCAUGAUGGAGAGCGCACAGGUCAUAAUACCCGUGAUCGAGGCACUACAGCUUUCUCUGAUAUGAUGUUGGACAGUGGCUUAGAGGAUGCAGGUUUCCUUGGGAAUCGAUACACUUGGACCAAUGGUCGGGUCAGGAAGAGAUUGGAUAGAGUACUCAUUAAUUCUUCAGCUGCAGCACUUUGUCGACAGCUUACAGUGAAGCACUUGAAUAGGACUUCAUCUGACCAUUCACCCUUAUUACUUCAGUGGACUUCUGAUGAUGACUUGGGGCCUAGGCCUUUCAGAUUCCUCAAUGUUUGGACCAAGCAUCAUGAUUUCUUAGCAUUUGUCUCUCAGAAGUGGUCACUCCCCACUCAUCUUACGGGGAUGGCUGCUCUUUGGGAGAAAUUCUUCAGGAUGAAACAGGGACUGCGCUGGUGGAAUCGACAUGUGUUUGGAGACAUUUUCCAGCGAGUGAGGGAUGCUGAGGACAGGGUUGAUGAGGCAGAGAUUGUUUUUGACAGUGACCCUACACCGGAACAUCGUGACAUACUACAUCAGGUUCAGGCAGCUUUGAACCAGACUUUAUCUAUUGAGGAGGGCUUUUGGAAGCAAAGGGCUGGCUCACGUUGGGUAUGUGAAGGAGAUCGCAAUACUCGAUACUUCCAUGCGAUGGUUCAAGGACACCGUAUCAGAUCUCGUAUUAGGUCCAUCAGGACACAGGUAGGAGAAGUCUUAGCUACUCCUACUGAUAUUCAGAACUCGGCUAUUUCCUUCUACCAGGAUCUCUUAUCUACUCCUCCACAACCUUUGGAUCACAUCCGUUCUGAUGUCAUUCCGAGGCUAUUGACGGAGGAAGAUAAUUUGGCACUAAACCGCCCCCCUUUGAUUCAUGAGGUACGGGAGGCGGUUUUCAGUAUUGAUGCUGACAGUGUCGCUGGCCCGGAUGGCUUCUCAUCCCUAUUCUUCCAGAAUUGUUGGGAUAUUAUUCAGGAGGAUGUUUACAGGGCGGUAUUGGACUUCUUUGAUGGUGGUCAUCUUCCACGGGGUUUUGCUGCCACUUCUAUUGUCUUGCUACCUAAGAAAGUUGGUGCUUGCAGAUGGACUGAAUUCAGACCAAUUAGCUUGUGCACAGUGUUCAAUAAGAUUAUUACUAAGCUUUUGAACACUCGAUUGAGUACACUGCUACCGCGCAUUAUUUCCCCCCCACAGAGUGGUUUCAUCCCAGGCCGUCUGAUUGGAGAUAAUGUUUUAUUGGCUCAGGAGCUUCUCUACAGUUUGGAUGAUAGAGUGCGAGGGGGAAACACUAUGCUGAAGUUAGACAUGGCUAAAGCAUAUGAUCGCAUGGACUGGGGCUUCAUUUAUUCUGUAUUGGAGGCAUUUGGAUUUGAUCAGGUCUGGAUUGACAGAAUCAGGCGGUGCAUUUCGGAGUGUCGUUUCUCCGUACUCCUAAACGGCCGCCCAUGUGGUUUCUUUCCCUCCUCACGAGGACUCAGACAGGGUGAUCCUAUCUCCCCAUCCUUGUUCAUCAUUGCAGCAGACUACUUCUCACGUUUGCUCACUCAGAGGUUUCAAGAGUAUCCCAGUAUGUGUUAUCGACAUGGAGGUAGUGCUCUUGUCUCACAUCUCUCAUUUGCUGACGAUAUGAUCAUCUUUGCCAACGGUCAGAAACAGUCUAUCAGGAGGGUCUUAGACUGUUUGGAGCACUAUGAAGGAGUUUCUGGCCAAUUGGUGAAUAGAGACAAGAGCGGUAUUAUACUAUCCAG